rnacentral:lncRNA from 1 species
GUUACAGUGCGCCAUUUUAGCUUUGCCAUCCGCGGACGGCUUGAGUGUUAACCAGCUCGGUGGACCGUUUGCCUUUCUGCGAGGGCAGCGGCCUACAUGUUCAGCCUCAACGUGAACGUGAUGAGGAUGAAGACCUUUAUGAUAAUCCACUUUCACUUAGUGAAUCGGGAUUGGACUGCUGCAUUCUAAAAAUAAUGGUGAGAAGAAUGAAUAAAUUAGAGUUUACUAUGUAAUAAAACCUUCUAAAAAAGAGGAGAGGUAGCAGAAUUUACAAGAAGGUUAAACCUGACCUUACUGAAGAGAAUGAUACCCUCAUAGCAGCGCAUCUUCUUUGCUCACAGAAAGGCUGGCGUCAAUCCUCAAACUCCUGGGCUCAAGCAGUGCUCCCACCUUGGCCUCCCAAAGUGCUGGGAUUACAGAUGUGAGCAGCCAUGCCUGGCCAAUACAGAAGAUGAAAAUUGGAGAUUGUCAAUGAACUUGAGAUCAUUCGUUCAAUGCUCAUUAAUUCAAUAUUCACUUAACAAAUAUUUAUUGAGUGUUUACUAUGGGCCAAGAACUGAGCAAAACACUCCACAAUACAAGUCUGUGAAAUAACCCAAACAA